rnacentral:rRNA from 1 species
AAUAGAUACCCUGGUAGUCCACCCGUAAACGUUGGGAACUAGUUGUGGGGUCCUUUCCACGGAUUCCGUGACGCAGCUAACGCAUUAAGUUCCCCGCCUGGGGAGUACGGCCGCAAGGCUAAAACUCAAAGGAAUUGACGGGGACCCGCACAAGCGGCGGAGCAUGCGGAUUAAUUCGAUGCAACGCGAAGAACCUUACCAAGGCUUGACAUACACCAGAACACCCUAGAAAUAGGGGACUCUUUGGACACUGGUGAACAGGUGGUGCAUGGUUGUCGUCAGCUCGUGUCGUGAGAUGUUGGGUUAAGUCCCGCAACGAGCGCAACCCUCGUUCUAUGUUGCCAGCACGUAAUGGUGGGAACUCAUGGGAUACUGCCGGGGUCAACUCGGAGGAAGGUGGGGAUGACGUCAAAUCAUCAUGCCCCUUAUGUCUUGGGCUUCACGCAUGCUACAAUGGCCGGUACAAAGGGCUGCAAUACCGUGAGGUGGAGCGAAUCCCAAAAAGCCGGUCCCAGUUCGGAUUGAGGUCUGCAACUCGA